rnacentral:rRNA from 1 species
CCUACGGGGGGCUGCAGUGGGGAAUAUUGGACAAUGGGGGCAACCCUGAUCCAGCCAUGCCGCGUGUGUGAAGAAGGCCCUCGGGUUGUAAAGCACUUUCAGUGAGGAAGAACGCCUGGUGGUUAAUACCCAUCAGGAAAGACAUCACUCACAGAAGAAGCACCGGCUAACUCCGUGCCAGCAGCCGCGGUAAUACGGAGGGUGCGAGCGUUAAUCGGAAUUACUGGGCGUAAAGCGCGCGUAGGUGGCUUGAUAAGCCGGUUGUGAAAGCCCCGGGCUCAACCUGGGAACGGCAUCCGGAACUGUCAAGCUAGAGUGCAGGAGAGGAAGGUAGAAUUCCCGGUGUAGCGGUGAAAUGCGUAGAGCUCGGGAGGAAUACCAGUGGCGAAGGCGGCCUUCUGGACUGACACUGACACUGAGGUGCGAAAGCGUGGGUAGCAAACAGGAUUAGAUACCCGAGUAGUC